UCAAAGAUAGCCUCACGGGCUAUUGAAAGCGCGGGACUUAAGAUCCCGUGGCGUAGGCCUUCGUGGGUUCGAGUCCCACUCCCCGCA
rnacentral:tRNA from 1 species